UAUAAACCGAAGACUCAGAAGGCAGUUCCUGCUCUACAACUAUCUGACUUUGUUGCAUGGAAACUUCUAUGAAUAUACCUGAAAACCAUGCCUUUGCAUCUAUUCGGUGUGAAACUGUCCCCAAAAGAAGAACUGCUUCUAAACCUCAAGGCUCCGGGGACUGGAAAGAUGGCUCGGUGGGGCAGAGCACGAGCUCUGCAAGUCUGAGGAGCUGAGUGUCAAUCUCCAGCACCAGGUAAAAGUCAGGCUGUGCAAGCUGCUGCCCAGCAUGAGGGACGGGAUGGAGACCCUGAGGGAUCCCUGGCUA
rnacentral:lncRNA from 1 species